UAAGGUGAUUAUAACGAUAGGGCUCACCUCUUCCCAUCCCGAACAGAGAAGUUAAGCCUAUCAGUGCAGAUGGUACUGCCAUAUGGUGGGAGAGUAUGUCAUCGCCUUUC
rnacentral:rRNA from 1 species